rnacentral:rRNA from 1 species
CGAUCUCAAAUCAAGUAAGACUACCCGCUGAACUUAAGCAUAUCAA